CCUACGGGUGGCAGCAGUGGGGAAUAUUGCACAAUGGGGGAAACCCUGAUGCAGCGACGCCGCGUGAAGGAAGAAGUAUUUCGGUAUGUAAACUUCUAUCAGCAGGGAAGAAAAAGACGGUACCUGACUAAGAAGCCCCUGCUAACUACGUGCCAGCAGCCGCGGUAAUACGAAGGGGGCAAGCGUUAUCCGGAUUGACUGGGGGUAAAGGGAGCGUGGGCGGUUUAGCAAGACAGAAGUGAAAGCCCGGGGCUCAACUCCGGGAGUGCUUUUGAAACUGGUGAACUAGAGUGCAGGAGAGGAAAGUGGAAUUCCUAGUGUAGCGGUGAAAUGCGUAGAUAUUAGGAGGAACACCAGUGGCGAAGGCGGCUUACUGGACUGUAAAUGACGCUGAGGCUCGAAAGCGUGGGGAGCAAACAGGAUUAGAUACCCUGGUAGUC
rnacentral:rRNA from 1 species